GGCAGUUCCACCCCUAGAACUGCCUGGCUGCUGCAUUUCUGGCUGCUGCUCUUUUUGAGAGGAACAGAAGUUCCUGGGCAGGACCUGGCAGGCUCUGUGUGGGUGCCCAGUCAGAAUCCAGUGCAGAAAAUGAUCCAAGCCAGCAUAAAAUUGUCAUGAGAGGAUGAAAACAAAAUAAUCCUCACCAGGGCAGGGGAUGAGUUGUGGAGACAACCAGAAACAAAUCCAGGAACUCAGGGAAGAAAGAUCUGUGAAAGGAAUGUAAAACCUCUCCUCUCCUUAGCAAGGCUUUAAUUGCUGGAAUCUUCUGGAGUUUGGGUUUUGUCUCCUCCAUCAGCUGGAGCUCAAUCACAGUGAGUUCUGAGGGCAGCCCCAGGAACAGCCCAGAUGUGCUGAUGAAAGGAAUUUGCUGCUCCCUGGGGCAGCUCUGGGGAAGGGGAAACUCCUCAGGGCUUUGGGAGCUGGAGGGAGCUCAGCUGCACCCAGCACAGCCAGGCAGCUCAGGAGCUGCUCACAGAAGGCAUUGAAUAAAUCUCCCUUAAAAUCUGUGUGCAGCCCCAUUGCCCUUUCCUUUUCCACCUUUCUUAUUUGUUCUUUUUUUAUUUUUCUUGUUCGUUCUUAAUUUUUCCUUAUUUUUUGUUAUUUCUUCCCUUGUUGCCAGGCUCCCCCUCGUUGCAGGCUGAUGGAUUGGCCACGCCACCCCCCCCUCCCCCCAAAAGCAAACCCUACGAGAGCAGCACCCCCAGGAACUCUGUGGAGGUUGCUCCAGCGCUGCCCAGCAGGCGAGAGGCCAAACCUCCCCCUCCACCCCCCAAAACCAGGAAAUCCAGCGUGGUGUCCUCGGAGCAGGGGCUGCCCUGAGCCUGGGGGGUGCCAGCAGUGCCAGCCUGCAGUGGUGCUUCAUCUCCUGCCAGCCUGGCAUCUCCCUGCCCUGGCAUCUCCCCUGCCCUCCUUCCACCCUGCCCUGGAGCUUUCCUGGCAAAUCCCACAGAGGAAACGUGGCUGGGGCUGGGCUCCCUCGCUGUGUUUGCCUGUGCACUGCUCACACUGAUCCUGAGCUGUCCCUCACACACUGAUCCUGCCCUGUCCCUCACACACUGAUCCUGAGCUCUCCCUGACACACUGAUCCUGCCCUGUCCCUCACACACUGAUCCUGCCCUGUCCCUCACACACUGAUCCUGAGCUCUCCCUCACACACUGAUCCUGAGCUCUCCCUCACACACUGAUCCUGCCCUGUCCCUCACACACUGAUCCUGAGCUCUCCCUGCUGCAGUUCCUCUCCCUCCUGGGCCUGUCUGUCCUGGGUUGGUCACUGCUGCAAUGCCAGCAGCUCCUCCCAGUGCCCUGGGAAUCCUGGCUGAUCCCACUGCAGGGCUCAGGGUCUGUGCCCAGCUCUGCUUGCUUUGGUACAAGAUCUCAUUUGUGCUUUUAAUGGGGUGGGAAAAGCAUCCUGUGAAUGUUGGAGAUGACAGAAGCUGCACUUUGGCCAGGGCUGGACUGGCACCACUGCACUGAUGGCAGAGCUUCACUGGCACCACUGCACUGACACCAGGACUUUACUGGUUCCACAAACAGAUCAUGGCCUCUUUAUUUAUCAUCAAUAUUGAUGAAGAUUUUGCUUUCUCUUCCAGGAAAUAAUUUUGUUUGUUCAUUCUGUCACUUUGCUUCUGAUUAUCUUGUAGGAGUUGGGAGGAGCCACUGAAACCCUGCUGAGGGUGUUGCUCACAGCAGGAAUACAAUUAUUGUUGGGCUGGGGGUUCAUGGGCCAUUAUUGUGCUCCCCUGACUGAAAGAAGUUUCUGACCUUACUGAAAAACCAAAGUUUGUUAAACCUAAUGAAAAGUUUCCUCAGCAAAGUCUUUUUCAGGGAAAAGCAAACCCAACAAAACCCAACCCAACAAAAGCCACCCCCAGGAGGGUUUUGCUCAGACUGAAGUUGUCAUUUCCUUUUGUCCUUCCCAAUUCUUUUGACAUGAGUGUGAGUGCAGGGGCUGGAAGCAGAUUGCCCUCAUCCCAGAUCAUCCCAGAGUGCCAUCAGCUCCAGCCUGAGCUGCUCUGGAGGUGGCACUGCAGUCACAUCCCAUCCAUCCCCAGCCUGAUUGCUGCUGCACAUUCCAGCUGCCUCCGGGCUGCUGCUCCUCGGGGGAGCUCUUGGAACCUCCCUGGGGCACUGUGUGCCCUGUCAGCUCCUCCUCGUGUUCCUGACACAGACACUGCUCAACUGCAAAACCUCUGGGCUUUCCUGCCCUUCAUUUCCUGUGCAUUCUCCCUCCCUGGAUGCUCUGAAAGUUCCCCUAAAGCAGCUUUUUGUGUGGGCUGAGGUUCUGCUGCAGGCAGAGCAGCAGGAUGUGCUCUGGGCUGUCUGAGGUGCAUCCUGGUGUUCAUUCUGUGCCUUUCUCCUCUCAGCCAGGUUGGGUUUAACGCAGUGGGUCAGCAGGAGCAGGGCAGGCUGAGCAGGGAUCCCAGGAUGGUUUCCCUGGUGUGGGCAAACAGGCUGAGCUGUCAGGUUUGGGUGUUUUGGUUCUCAGUGACUUUGGAGUCCUCUUUGCAGCCUUUUUGUUCUGCUUUAACCACCUUCACAUAUGGAGGUACCUUUUGCAUCCAGGUUUUUUCCUGGAGAAGGAAACCUCCAUGCAGAAAACACUCACAGGAGGAGGUCUGACCUUGGGAAGAAUUUUUCAGCUGAUUUUUAAUCAGCUGUUUGCUCUCAGAUUCGGCUCUGGCUGCAUUUUCUGCAGCUACAGAUCAGGAUUUUGAGCAGAAUCUUUGGCAUGUUGGUGGUGAAUUAUCCCUCCCUCUCUGCAGCUGCCACCUUCAGCUCUGCCCUGCCUUGACACUGCUCCUCUCACCUUAAACCUCACCUGGCUUUGCUGCUCACAAGUUCAGGUUCUCCCGUGCCCCCUGUGCGUGCCCAGUUUGGGGUGGGCACCCCUGGCUGCGAGGAGAGGAGCAGCUCACACCAAAGAGCUCAGAACAAACUUUCCCUUCCCAGCACAUUUUGGGCAUUUCACUGGCAAAUUUGCCACAAAGGACUCUAAAUUUGGUUCUGUUUUUUUCCUUUCUCAGCAUUAUUUAUGUUUUAGAGUUUUAAACUUGUCCCACUCCUGCUCCUUUUGGCAGUGUCCCCAGUGUGGUGUCCAGUUCUCUUACCUGGCUGGUAAAAGUUGGCAUCACUGGGCUCAGAGGUGCAAGAUGGAAUUUCUGUUCUGUGCCCAAAUGAUUCAGGGCUUUGGGCCAGUUUUGGGGGAAAAAAACAUCCAAGAGUCAGAUUUUUAAAGGCAUUUGGGCAUUAAGUGCGUGAGGAAGAACAGGGCAUGAAAGUGAUUUUAAAUGAGUGGAGUUAAGUGCCCACUCUAAGGACAAAUCCCACUGGAACCUUCAUUGUGUGAAGUGUUUGCUCCUUGCUUGGGUGAGGUUUCAUUUUCAGAGGCACUUCAAGGUGUCUCUACCUUGUUUCUUUAAAUGAGAAUCAUCUCUUCAGGUUCAUUGGGUGCUUUAGGAAAUGCCUCCAAUGUGUUUUCAGCUGUUGGGUUUCAAAUGGGAAGAGGACAUUCCACAAUGAUGAUCUCUGCACACCACAAAUUGCAGCAAUUUCUGCCCAAUUCCUGCUUUUGAAUAAAAUCUCAAAGUUAAAACA
ensembl:lncRNA